ACGGGUGAGUAACGCGUGGGUAACCUGCCUUAUCCUGGGGGAUAACAGUUGGAAACGGCUGCUAAUACCGCAUAAGCGCACAGCAUCGCAUGAUGCAGUGUGAAAAACUCCGGUGGUAUAAGAUGGACCCGCGUUGGAUUAGCUAGUUGGUGAGGUAACGGCCCACCAAGGCGACGAUCCAUAGCCGACCUGAGAGGGUGACCGGCCACAUUGGGACUGAGACACGGCCCAAACUCCUACGGGAGGCAGCAGUGGGGAAUAUUGCACAAUGGGCGAAAGCCUGAUGCAGCGACGCCGCGUGAGCGAAGAAGUAUUUCGGUAUGUAAAGCUCUAUCAGCAGGGAAGAUAAUGACGGUACCUGACUAAGAAGCACCGGCUAAAUACGUGCCAGCAGCCGCGGUAAUACGUAUGGUGCAAGCGUUAUCCGGAUUUACUGGGUGUAAAGGGAGCGCAGGCGGUGCGGCAAGUCUGAUGUGAAAGCCCGGGGCUCAACCCCGGUACUGCAUUGGAAACUGUCGUACUAGAGUGUCGGAGGGGUAAGCGGAAUUCCUAGUGUAGCGGUGAAAUGCGUAGAUAUUAGGAGGAACACCAGUGGCGAAGGCGGCUUACUGGACGAUAACUGACGCUGAGGCUCGAAAGCGUGGGGAGCAAACAGGAUUAGAUACCCUGGUAGUCCACGCCG
rnacentral:rRNA from 1 species